CCUACGGGAGACUGCAGUAGGGAAUCUUCCACAAUGGACGAAAGUCUGAUGGAGCAACGCCGCGUGAGUGAAGAAGGGUUUCGGCUCGUAAAGCUCUGUUGGUAGUGAAGAAAGAUAGAGGUAGUAACUGGCCUUUAUUUGACGGUAAUUACUUAGAAAGUCACGGCUAACUACGUGCCAGCAGCCGCGGUAAUACGUAGGUGGCAAGCGUUGUCCGGAUUUAUUGGGCGUAAAGCGAGUGCAGGCGGUUCAAUAAGUCUGAUGUGAAAGCCUUCGGCUCAACCGGAGAAUUGCAUCAGAAACUGUUGAACUUGAGUGCAGAAGAGGAGAGUGGAACUCCAUGUGUAGCGGUGGAAUGCGUAGAUAUAUGGAGGAACACCAGUGGCGAAGGCGGCCUGCUGGGCUUUAACUGACGCUGAGGAGCGAAAGCGUGGGUAGCAAACAGGAUUAGAUACCCCUGUAGUC
rnacentral:rRNA from 1 species